UUCUUUAAGAUAUUAUUUAAAGUAAAACCUGCUCAAUGAAAAUAAUAAAUAGCCGCAGUUUUACUGUGCUAAGGUAGCAUAAUCACUUGCUUUUUAAUUAAAAGAUAGUAUGAAUGGUUAAACAUUUAAAAUUUGUCUCUAUACUCAUAAUAAAAUUAAUGUAAAAGUAAAAAUACUCUUAACCAAAAGUAAGACGACAAGACCCUGAUAAACUUAAAAAUUUAGUUGGGGAAACAUUAUAAUAAAUCUUUAUAAAAAUAAAAACACACCUUACAAAAUUAAAAAAUGGACAGUUACUACAGGGAUAACAGCGCAAUUCUUUUCAAGAGAUCUAAUCCAAAAAAGAGCUUACGACCUCGAUGUUGAAUUAAUAUACCUAAACAGCGCAACAGCUUUAUUAAGGUAGUCUGUUCGACUAUUAAAAUU
rnacentral:rRNA from 1 species